rnacentral:rRNA from 1 species
GUAGGUGGCAAGCGUUGUCCGGGAAUUAUUGGGGCGUAAAGCGCGCGCAGGCGGUUCUUUAAGUCUGAUGUGAAAGCCCACGGGCUCAACCGUGGAGGGUCAUUGGAAACUGGAGAACUUGAGUACAGAAGAGGAAAGCGGAAUUCCACGUGUAGCGGUGAAAUGCGUAGAGAUGUGGAGGAACACCAGUGGCGAAGGCGGCUUUCUGGUCUGUAACUGACGCUGAGGCGCGAAAGCGUGGGGAGCAAACAGGAUUAGAUACCCUGGUAGUCCACGCCGUAAACGAUGAGUGCUAAGUGUUAGGGGAUUUCCGCCCCUUAGUGCUGCAGCUAACGCAUUAAGCACUCCGCCUGGGGAGUACGGCCGCAAAGGCUGA